rnacentral:rRNA from 1 species
CACGAAGGGUGCAAGCGUUAAUCGGAAUUACUGGGCGUAAAGCGUGCGCAGGCGGUUUUGUAAGCCAGAUGUGAAAUCCCCGGGCUUAACCUGGGAAUGGCAUUUGGGACUGCAAGGCUGGAGUGUGGCAGAGGAGACUGGAAUUCCUGGUGUAGCAGUGAAAUGCGUAGAUAUCAGGAGGAAUACCGAUGGCGAAGGCAGGUCUCUGGGCUGACACUGACGCUCAUGCACGAAAGCGUGGGGAGCAAACAGG